CAGCCGCCGCGGUAACACGGAGGGGGCUAGCGUUGUUCGGAAUUACUGGGCGUAAAGCGCACGUAGGCGGCUUGGUAAGUUAGAGGUGAAAGCCUGGAGCUCAACUCCAGAAUUGCCUUUAAGACUGCCGAGCUAGCAGGUGAGAGAGGUAAGUGGAAUUCCGAGUGUAGAGGUGAAAUUCGUAGAUAUUCGGAAGAACACCAGUGGCGAAGGCGGCUUACUGGCUCAUACUGGACGCUGAGGUGCGAAAGCGUGGGGAGCAAACAGGAUUAGAUACCCGAGUAGUCCCUGUCUCUUAUAC
rnacentral:rRNA from 1 species